AACCCUGGGAGCAGCCCCGGCCCUGCCAGCUCCAGCCAGCAAAGGAUGAAGUGGGGGGGAACCGCAGGCAGGCGGGGAGGUUACAGCGGCGGUGGGAGGUGCUGGGCUGGCGCAGGCAGAGCGCCAUGGGGCUGGGGUCAGUCUGGCACGGGAGUGCUGGGCAGGGGCUGGCACUGCCUUCUCUGCAGUCUGUGGGGGCCCUUUGGAGAAAAGUGGGGUCGGCAGGGUUUUGUCCUGGGACCGGAGCUGAGUCCCACCUGGGCCCUGCCACAUGUCCAUGGGGGUCUGUGUGGGAAGAGGCCCUGGGGCACGUGCAGGGAAUUGUGGGCAGGGCUGUGGGGCUGGGAAGGAGGAGGGUGCCCCCUCCAGAUGCUGUUGUGGGGAAUGGGUGCUGUGGGGCACACGAGGACCCCUGGGAGACAGGACCAUGAGCUGUUGGGAGACGCUGCCGACGCGGACGCCACCUAGCCGUGGUGCAGCCACAUGGCUGUGGGGCCAUGGGUGAGGGCUGGGGGAACCCCGGGGCCAUGUGCAUGUCACUGUGGGGGGAGCUGUGUCCCCUGUGGAUGCUGUGGGGGAGGGGAGUCAGCGCUGUGGAGGCACUGGAGGGACCAUGGGGAUGGGAGACCUGGGCCACACUGGGUGUCAGGUGGGUGCUGCAGGGCCUGGCAAAGGUCAGGGCAGGCAUCAGGCUUGGGGGCGAGCAGCUGGGUUUGUGGGUUUCUGGAGCCCGCCCAGUUCCUGCAGCCUGUGUCAGCAGAAGGGGAAGCGAGGACGACCCUGAGGCUGCUCUGAGUGGGGGAUAGUCAGGGGCAUCAGGGCUGGGCAGACCUCACAGCUGGGCCGGGUCACGGUCCUGGGUCUCCCAUCAUGUGGUGAAGUCUGUGCUGUCUUCUUUCUCCCAGGGGCCUCAGAGGCUGGACGCUGUCGGCAGGGGCUGCACGUGCGUGCAGGGAGAGCAAGAGCCCAGGCCCCGGCUGGGUGAGGUCUCUCCUGGUGGAGACAGUGGCAGCUGUGGCCCUUCCCUUGGCAGCCCUGGAGCAGCCUGAGGUGCAGCUGGAGGAGCAGGAUCUGGGAGGCCUCCAGGCUGGAGCUGAGGGGGCAGGACAAGUCCCUCCUGUCGUCCAGGCUGGGACCAGCGGGGUGCCCCCAAGGUGGUCACAGUGAGUGGGAAGGUGGAGCAACUGCCCUCAGACAAGAUGCAGCCCACUGGGACACUGCAGAAACCUGGUCCUUCCUGGCUGGAGCAGCCAAAUGGCCAUCGUGCGGACAGGCCUGUGAAGGAGUCAGGAGAGAUGGAAAUACCAGGGCCUUAGGACAAGCCACCUCGCAUUCCCAGAAAGCAGUCCCUGCCCCACCAACAGUCAGGUGCUAGGACCCUGAGAAGAGCUGAGCAGCAGCCUCCUGAGAAGGGGCCUGUAAAGCUGGAGCUGCAGAGCGCUUCCCCAGGGAGACUGGAGGAGAGCUCCAUGACCCCUGAGCCAGGCCAAGUGCAGAAGGGGCAGGGCAGGCCUCCAAAGCAGGAGGCCAGCUUGGAGCUCUGGAAGGUGUUUGAGGACGUGGCUGUGUAUUUCACACAGAAGGAGUGGGAGCUACUGGAAGAUGAAGACAAGGUGCUUUACCAGGCCCAGAUGCUGAAGAAUUACCAAGCCCUCGUUUACCUGGGAUAUCGAGGUCCCACACCCGCCCUAAUCUGCAGCAUCCAGCAAGGACAGGUGGAGUUCUGGGUCUGUGAUGAUGAGGACCAUGGAGAAAUCUCAAGAUCAGAGGACCCGCUGCCAGCUAUUCCUGUUGGACAAGAAAGCAGCUGAGGCUCUUUCUGGCUGAUUCUGUUGAGGUUGACCUGGAACCCAGGAAGAGUUUCAGCAUGGUCUCAGGCUGCAUUAAAUGGCUCCAUGGCAUGGAUGGGAUUCACAAGAUUUCAGGAAGUGCCUGGCUGCUGAGCAGAGCUGAGGAGCAGCGUUGUGCAGAAGGGUCUGCAGACCUGGAGUCAGUACAAACUUCCCCAGGGAAUUUGGAUGAGGUGGACUCCCUGAGACGGAGCAAUGUCCUUCUCAUUGCUGGGCCAGAUUGUCCAUAUGGGGGAGAGGCCAUAUCGGUGCUUAGAGUGUGAGAAGAGCUUCACCCAUUCCUCCCAUCUGGUCCGGCAUCAGCUUAUCCACACAGGGGAGAAGCCACAUCAGUGCUUGGAGUGUGGGAAAAGCUUCAACCGAUCCUGUACUUUGGCCCAACACCAGCUUAUGCACACGGGGGAGAAGCCAUAUUGGUGCGUGGAGUGUGGGAAAAGCUUCAUUCGUUGCUCCAAUCUGGUCCAGCACCAGCUUAUCCACACAGGGGAGAAGCCACAUCAGUGCUCGGUGUGUGGGAAGAGCUUCUUCCUGUUGUCCAGCCUGACCAAACACCGGGUCACCCACAUGGGGAAGAAGCCACAUCUGCUCAGAAUGUGGGAAGAGCUUCACUUGAUCCUUCAUCCUGUCCCGGCACCCACUCAUCCACACAGAGAAGAAACCACAUCAGUGCUCAGUGCAGAAAGUGCUGCUUCCACUCCAAACUGGCCCAGCACCAGUGCAUCCCUAUCUGGGAGUUUCUAUAAUUCUGCCAGCAAUACAGGAAAGGCUUGGAGAUUGUAUACCUGCUUAGUAUCCACCAGUGUUUGUAUGCAGGGAAGCAGUCCCAUGCUGAUGCACUGCAGCCAUAGUUCACCCUUCAUUAAGCCUUUCAAGGUACUGCAAAAUCCAAAGUACAUAGAGGCUGGCCUCCCAGGUUAGAUGCAGGUGAGGGGUUAAAAGAAACACCUCAGGCAGAGACCAGCCCAGAUGCUGGGGGAACCUGUGAGGAGAUGAUCUUUGCAACAGCCUUGGAGCCUGUGCUAUCCCCAUCAUUCUCUAAAAGCAGCCAGUGCUCCUAGGGGGAGAAAUGCCUUCACAAUAGGUCCCUUCCCCAAGACAGCUGGCUCCAAAUGACAUCCAGGGACUGUCUUUGGCUGACUCCCAGCUUCGACUUCCAUCCUGGUCCCAGGUUUCUUGUAUGUGAGGCUCUAGAGUUGUAGGAAGGAGGACAUUUAUUUCUAGGGAACCAUUCCCUUCCACCCUGACCAUACCUUUCCUCCCCAUGGCAUCACCUGUCUCCCAGGCCUGCACAUGCCCAUCAGGGUCUGUAGGAAACUGCUACUGCUGCCCCAUGAGCCCAGUUUCUCAGGUUUUGCUUCUCAGCCCCUCAUCAGAACGGCACCGCCAAGUGUGAGCUGCUCCCCUCUUCUGCCCUCCCCACCCCCCUGCCCUGCACCUUCCUUCCCCUCAUGCCAUUCUCUAGAACAGAUUCCUUGGUAAUCAAGCCCCACAACUUAACACAAUACCCCUGUGGUUGGUCUCUAUGUCCUCUCCAGGGCUGUGACAUGGGAACAGAGCAGGGACCAGAACUCUUUCCUGGGAAGAUUUCUCUGUGAUUGCUCAGCCCCUUCCCUUUCCAGGGGAUUCAUCACAAUCCAGGGGUUUUUGCUAAGCCUCAGGAGCAGAAGUUGGUCACAUUCAAGGCAUCACACCCAGGUCCUGCUGUGCAGCCAAGAACCCUGCCCUUUUGAACGAACCUCUGGCCAGGAGCAAGUAGAGUCUUUUCUGGGUUAAAUGCAAUAGUUGGGGUAAAGGAGGUGCAGCCUAUGACAGGUCCUGCUAUUGCUGUGGAAGGGUGGGGACAGUAUAAAGGCAUUCUCUGGGUGAAAUGCAGCAUGUUGUAAUCUCCCUUUGGGAAAAGUGAGACUUCCCUGCUAUUGCACUUCCCACAUCUGGCAGCCAGUGUCAGGUUUACUGCUAUCUAUUGAUAGCCCUCUCCCCACCCAACCAAGUAAAGCCUCCAGUUUUACUGGCCUGCAGCAGCCCAGGGACCCUUUGAAUAUCUGAAAUGGGCCUUCACCCCUGCCUCUUUGCUAGGUUGUCCAGACCCCACCUUGUCAUCUGUGAAAGCAAUAGAUGCAUCUAGGACUGUAAAAGGUGUGGUGGUCUCACAGUGGCAGGCCCCAGACCAAAUCCCGCAUCCAUCCCUUCAUCAUCUUUUCCUGCAAACUCACCUCAGGGAAAAAGAAAUCUUGAGCUCCUGACCUGUCAACUCAUGGGCAUCAGUGGCUUUGGGGAAGUGGUGGCAAUGCUUUGAAAAGCCAUGGCACAAAGUACAGGUUCUUGCAGAUGACAAAAACCUAGUUGUCAAUCUGCAUCCCCAGAAACUGGCACAAGAAGCAAGGGGGCGGUUCCCACUUGUAUAUAGAAAAUCACAGGGGUUAGGGUCACAAGUCAAUGGGCAAAGGGAGGGAACAAGUAAAAGGUCAAAAAACAGCAACAUUGUGGUACCAUACAUUUAGCACCUUAAUUCCCUGCUACCCCUCAACCCCACCAGCAGUGUUCCCCAAACAAGCUGUUAGUCCCAAGAGCGAUCAAACGUGCAGCUGCCCCAGGGUCUGAAUCCAGCUCCUUCAGCCCACUGUCCUGGCUGACCAAGCCAGUGAGAUUUCCAGCUCCACUGCACACUCCUCUGGGUAGGGCUGGCCAGGCUUCAUGGCACACUGUUAUCUUUCCCCCUUACUUCAGCCUCCAGCUUCAUCUUCCAUUUUUCCUUCCUCCCCAGCCCCAGGGGUUUCUGGGAUUUGUAGUCCAGACUCCCACUGAGUACAGCUCUGCAGACUGCUCUUGCAGUUACACACAUUACAUUCACAUUGUACUAGAAUAUUUGUGUGUGACCAAAACACUCAAAUAGAGCAGCUUUGCUGGGGUGGCUGUUUUCCUUGUCCUACUUUGAAUUUCAGAUGAUGUAGAAAUGGGAAGGUGGGUGCUAUUUCCCAAGAAGUGGAAUAUGACACUUAUCGGGCACACAGAUCAUUGGAACCUAGCCCCAUUUUGAAGCCACAAAACAUCCUCACACCACCUUGCCAAUGGCUCUGCUGUCUGUGCCACCACUUAGAAGAGGUCUGUCCUGAAGAGCAGGCUGCUUGAAUGUGACCCCUGCCUCAAGUCCAGGCUGGGGUUCUCUCAGGGUAAGAUUUACAUGCCCCCAUGUCUAGUCAAGUCCAUGGUACUAUGUUUAUGGCAUGACUCAUUGUUAGCUGGUCACCCUGGAAUGGAGAAAACCUAUCAACCCACUACUUUGGUGACCAGUGAAAACCCCUGUGGUCUCUUCCAGCCCCUUUCCAUUCCCUCUCGGCCUCUUGUAGGCUAAAAUCAAGUGUGGUUCUCCACCAGUUGAGUGGGUUCUCUAUGAUCUGGAUGGUGACAUAUUUACUCAGAUGGUACACUGCAUCCCAUGUGUACGUCUACCUUAGUGUCAUCACGCUUUUUAAAUGUAAAGACGGGACACCUGCCCACCCCUCCCCACAUACCCCCAGAUUUCUGCAUGGUGGGGAUGCAGGCUGCCUGCUGUGGGCUUAGGGGUCCCUACCUGCUGCCCUUUCCCCAGGAGUCCUGCACCAACUGUGUGCCCCCAGCCCAUCUGGCAGCUGCAGGAGACACAAAUCCAAGCUACCCUACCCCUGCUGCUGCUGCGCAGGCAGGGGGGCAGUAGGGUGGGGAGCACUUAGCCCUCAGCAUGCAUCCAUCCCCAUCCUGCACACAAAUCUGGGGGGGUACAUGCAUAAGCUCCUUUCCAUACAAGCAUAAUUUGACAUGAUGGCCAGAGGAUCACUCUUGUAAGGACGCGGGGGAGGGGCGAGAUGGCAGUACAAGGUGGAGAAUAGACCAGUAGACUGGGUUGCAGCACAACACCCAGAUUAAGAUGUAGAACAAGUCCAUAGCACAGGAUGACUCAAGAUAUUCCAGAUAUUUGUGGAAUAUAAUAUGUUAUUUGUUUAGAUCACUGUAUAAAAUGAGAAUUAGAAAGCAUGGGAACUUUGUAUUGCCCCCUGGGAGCCUACACUGUGUUGUACUGAUAGCCUGUUGUGGGUAUACGUGCAAUAACAUCUUGUCUGUCAGAUCGCAGCUGUAUUCUGGGUCAUGGAUUAUAGACAGUAAACCUGACCAAACUGUU